rnacentral:lncRNA from 1 species
AAGAAGCCAAAUAUAGCAAAAAAAAAAUCAAAAGCUCGCUGCCAUCACUCGAUAAGAUGACGCUCCUUGAAGUUGGACCUCAAUCAUUGUUCCUUUAUGUCCAUAAAUGGGAUGCGAUGAAGGAUAAGCUGCUCCUCAAAUGUUUUAUCGAAAAAAUUAAUGAAUGUAGGCCAUCUCCACCACAGCUCUCUCCACACGCAUUAAAUAUAUGCGAUGAAGGCGCUGAAUUCGCAACUAAAGAUGGAUGUCUCCCUGAUGCAAGUCAAGGAUAGAGUCGAUUUUCUCCACGACCACUACGUGUGCUUCAAGUACCUGUCGAAUCUUCCCGAAACCGAUUGGGAUCAAGCUUCAAACGUGCUUCAAUGAUGAAGUGUGGAAAAUGCUAUUCAAGGUUUUUUUUGUCUUUACUUCGGUCUCCAUUAUACAUAACUUCAUUGUUGCCUUACGUUAAAUGCUUGUAGUUUAUAACAUCAUUUAUCAAACUCUCAAGUAUUGGAAAAUGUUUUCUUCCAAGCGUAUCACCAUAAUGGCGAGCCCGAGUUCCAUCAAAUGUGCAACUUAUUCGGACUUUACCACGUCAAGAUAGAGUUUUCACAUACGGUGAUCGUUAUUGAGGAUUUUUCAACGGUUAAGAAACAUGCCGACCAUGAAGCCAUCGCCGAAGACUUAACGAAACAAGAUGUGUCUAGGAAGCUUUUCGCGGACGAUGCUUGUUCUAUCGUGGCUCCGUCUUUCCCCAAUGCAUUCAAGAGUCAAGUGCAUGUCCCAUGGUCGCCAAUUAAGAAUAAAUUUGUCAAACCAUCGAGCUCUAGCUUCCCCACUCGAAAUGUUUUUUCGGUGAAACCAAAGGAUGACCAUAAUCCUGACGCCGGAUAUGGUGGAAGUUCAUGCGCGUCGUCGUAUCCAUUCAAAUAGGGCACAUGUGCUGCUAGUUAUCUAUCUUUUGUAGACAUGUUAUAAAAACUUUUGCCCGUCUAGUAUUAUGGGUUUGAAAUCUUCUUUUGUUGUUGUUCUAAUGAUUUUGGCAUCGAUGGAACGGAUCACUUGUCAAGUUCUAAUGAAAUUACUCGUUCCUUUCAAUGGCUAAUGAAAACUAUCAAUGGUGAGUCUAUUGGCAUUCAAUAAUUUGCAUAUGUUAUUAUGUAUGCCCAACAUAUAUUAGACAAUUUGAACAAUUGGCUAACAUUUGAGCUCGAAUAUAAUAUGAAAUUUAAUAUUGAUAGGCAGACAAGUCACAUGUAAUAAGAUGGCUAUCAUCAAAACAGCUGCAAUGAUCUAUAAUUGCAUAAGAUAGGUAAAAAUAGUAGGAAGGAUAAUAGUUAACAACAAAAGAAACAUAGUUGCAACAAUAGUCAAGUAAUUCCUUCCAAAGGAAACAAAAGAAGUUUGUUGUUCAUACCCUCAAAAGACCAUAAUCUUGGUAUUAUUAAGUGAUGAUUUCACUUAUGCUUCAUGCCAAGCAGAUAGUGAUGAUUUCACUUAUGCUUCAUGCCAAGCAGAUACAUCACAUAAUCGACCUUCGCUUCAUCCGGGAGACUUGAAAACACGUCAAGACGCUCCACCUCAUUUGCAAGAAAAUCCAUUAUCUCGAACUUUAUCCUUUUGUGACAGCCCCAGAAUAGUACCCAAUUGGGCGAAAACUUCCUUUCUUGCCUUCGAGAUGUCGAAGUCAUAACCCAUUCUACCGACAAUAAUCUCGAGUCUUAUGUCCGCAGUCCGACUUAUAUCAGCCAACGCCUCAUACAUCCUAUCGACUCCCAAACCAUGUUUACGCUUCUUAGCCGAGCCACGAACUUCCUCCUCGAUUUUGUGGGUCUUUUCUAUUUUUUAGGUUUGGCUUAUAUUGUCAUCUACCUUAACAUUCUCGAAGACGUCGUCCAACGAGACGUGAUAAUCACCAUCGCCCAGCUCAACCAAUCACACGGUUGCAAUGUUAAAUUCUUAGACUAAGUUUAUCAGUAAUCACCCAACCAUCCAACCAUCUUCAAUAUUUAAUUAAUUUCUCUCUCUUCCACAUCACCAAUAUUCAUCCCAACCCAACCACUUCUAUUUUUGUUGGUUUAUCAAUGACCACCCAACCAUCCAACCACAACAUUAUAUAUAAUUAUUUUGUUAUUAUUUUUAAUCGUAAUAAUUUUAAUAAUAUUAAAUAUAAAUUAAAAUAUUACAAAAAAAUUAAAAUGAAAAAACAAUAACAAACUAAUAAAAAUUUAAAUUACGACAAACUAAAAAUAGAAAUUACAACAACCCAAACUCGAAAUAGAAAAAAACAAUACAUACUAGCAUUUAAUUAUCAUUGCCAAACUUUUGCCAUAUGUGCUCGAUCAAGUCAUGUAAUAGAGAGUUGUGAGCUUCUCUAUUGCGAAGUUGGGAUCUAGUUGUCAUAUAGCUCGCUAGGCUUGCAAUUCUAUUUGUAGAGUAUACGAAAUCAUUAGUUUCUUGCCCAUCUUCACUUGGUCGAGUAUUCUGUCUUAGUCGAUCUUCGAUGAAUUCUGUAGGAUCAUGAUAGUUAAGGUAAGUGCUUCUUUCAUCUUCCACUAUCAUAUUAUGCAUGAUGAUGCAAGCAAUCAUUAUUUUCCCAUAAUAUCACGAUCCCAAAUAAGACAUGGCCGCUUGAUAAAAGCAAAACGCGCUUGUAAAACUCCAAAUGCUCGCUCAACAUCUUUUCGGGCAGCUUCUUGAUGUUGGGCAAACAACUGGUGCUUUCGAAGUUGUGGAGCAGGAAUAGAUUUGAUAAAUGCCGCCCAUUGAGGAUAUAUACCAUCAGUGAGAUAAUAUCCCAUAUUUCUUUCGCAGCCAUUAACGAUAUAAUUGACCUUAGGUGCUCGACCUUCCAAGAUAUCAUCAAAAAUAGGCGAUCGAUCAAGUACAUUGAUAUCAUUUCUUGAACCUGGGGUUCCAAAAAAUGCAUGCCAGAUCCAUAGGUCUUGUGAUGCAACUGCUUCCAAAAUAAUUGUUGGCGUACCGCUUCGUCCUGCAUAUUGCCCUGCCCAUGCAGUAGGGCAAUUUUUCCAUUCCCAAUGCAUACAAUCAAUACUACCCAUCAUGCCUGGGAACCCUCGCCGUUCUCCGAUAUGAAGAAGAGCUGCCAUAUCUUCUUCAGUAGGCUUUCGGAGGUACUCAGCUCCGAAAUUGGAAAUGACACCUUCAACAAAUUUGAUGACUGAUUUACGAAUGACUUGGGCGCUCAUUCGUAAGUAUUCGUCAUGCAAAUCGGCUGAAGUGCCAUAUGCCAACACCCUCAUGGCUGCAGUACAUUUUUGAAUUGGAGACAUACCAAGACGGCCAGCUGCAUCAGGGUGUUGUUGAAAAUAUCUAUCGGUGGCGACGAGCUUGUUCAUUAUACGUUCGAACAAAGGCUUUCGCAUGCGAAACCUUGUUCGAAAAUAUUCUGGGGGAUAGAUUGGAUCUUCUGAAAAGUACUGCUCGAACACACCUUCAUGACCUAUCUCACGUCUUCUUUCAAUAUACCGCCUCCUUGCUCUAACGGCAUGAUUGGUAGGUUGUACAGAUAGACUUGCGGCCUGGAUUACCACAUUCUCAAUGAUGCGAUCAAGUUGGCGAUUAUGUUCGGCAACACUUUGUUCCCAUGCUUCAUCAUCGCUAGAAUUUGAAGCACCAAUAUUAGAACUGGAGGCCAUUUUUUGAAGAGGAAUUUUUUCUAUCUAGAGUAUAGAAGAGAUAAUUGUUCUGAGAUUUGAAAGAAUACAUGGAUAAAUAUAUAAGCAAGAGCAUGAUAAGUGUCACAUGAGUGGUGCCACCGAAAGUAAAUGCUUUUGGAAUUAUUGUGACAAAAAUUCAAAGGUCACAUGGGUGGUGCCACCGAAAGUAAAUGCUUUUGGAAUUAUUGUGACAAAAAUUCAAAGGUCACAUGGGUGGCAUUGAAAUUACACAAAAUGAAAUGGCAUUGAAAUUACACAAAAUGAAAUGACAUUGAAAUUACACAAAAUGAAAUGUCAUUGAAAUUACAUAAAAUGAAAUUACAUUGAAAUUGCACAAAAUGAAAUUACAGCAAAUGAAAUUGCACAAACUGAAAUUACAUAGAAAAUGAAAUUACACCGAAAUUACAUAAAUCAACCAUACAACAAUAAUUUAAAAAACACAAUAAUUAAAAACAAGCAUCAUAAGUUCUACCAUUAGCCGACGUUUGAGAGUUUCCUCUUCUGGAGAUAACUGGGUUUUUUUCAUCAACGUAUUCAACGUAGAUGUUUUCAUUUCUUUUUCAUGUGUAAUCCUCAUUUCACGUAGUUCAGCAGUGAAAGCAUCUGAAACUAUCGAAGAUUGUGAUUCUGUUUGCUUUCCUUUUCUUUUUGCCUUACCUUUAGCUUUAUCCCUACCAAUAGGACGCUGAAAUUUCGAAGCAUCACUACCUGGAGUUUCUGGAGGAUCCGCAUCUUCAUCCGUCCUGGAUUUUUUUGAGCUGCUGCGACUUUCGUCAACAAUGUCUUCGUCGUCUGGGUGAGAACGUUGUACGUAGCCAGUACUUUCCAAUUUCAGUUCCCAGUUCGGAUAGCUGCUCAUAACUUUUUCAAACACCACAUGGUGAGUAAACUUAGUUUUACCAUAAAUUGUUUGAGUUGCUUUCUCGAUAUCCUCUUUGGACUGAUCGCUCGUUCGUCGCUCAUAUGCUUUCUUGUAUGCAGCAACCCACAAAGUUACAUUUUUGUUGAGGCGUUUGAAACGUUGCCUCAAUGAUUCCAAGGUCCUUGGACCUCCAAUUUCUGGAUUAUCUGCUCGACUUUGCUCAUACAUAUCUGCAACACUUUUCUAAAAUGACUUACUAUUUCGGUUUCUGCCAACUAUUGGAUUGUUACUGACAAAGCACCAAGCAGACAUUAGUGAUAUAUCUUCUAUAUCAGUCCAACUUUGCGCAUUGUUGGAAGGGUUUGCAGAAAAAUUUUCAGAGGUUUG